GGGAUAGUAGUUUAAUUGGAAAAACAAUUACAACCACCGUAGAAGUUUUGGGUUCGAGUCCCAAAUGUCCCA
rnacentral:tRNA from 1 species